rnacentral:lncRNA from 1 species
GCAAAUUGAUAUGGAUUGUGGUGGGAUAGUUGGAGUCUCCCUGUAUUUUUUGCUUGGUACGUCGCAUAACUAAGUCAUCUUCAAAGUUUGUUCAUCGAUUGUAUAUAUAUCAUCACUGUCAUCUGCCAUUAAAAUACCUUUAAAAUCAAUGAAAAGCAAAUCAAAUAUUAGCAAUAAAUUUUUUUGACGUUAAGAAAUCGAAUUCUAAAUAAAAAAUAAAGAACAACCUAAAUAAAAAAAAUGUAAAAAAUCCUAUGCAUAGAAAAGAAAAGUAUAAGAGGGAAGGAAGUAACUUUAAGGGGACAAAUACAAACAUUCAUAUAUUUUAGGAGUUUUAAUAAUUUCUUCUUAUAUAUUUUAGAAAACUAGUGUAGUGUACGUGCGUUGCACGUGUAUCAAGCGUUAUUUAAGAAUAAAUGUAUAUAAAAAUAAAUUAGUAAGUGGGUUAUAUUAUAUAAUACAAAAAAAAUUAAAAAUAUCACAGAAAAUUUUGAAUAUAAAAGUGUAGUAAAUUAAAGAGGAACAUGAUAAAUCGUCACACUAAUAGUUAAGGAGAAAAAUUAGAUGUAAUCAAAAAUAUAUUUUUCGUUUAAGAUUAUACUAUUUAGUCAUUUUCUAUAAGCUGAGAUGGUUCGAAUUAAUGAAAAUCAGAGUUUAAAUACUCAAAAUAGUGAUACUAAAAACACUUUGUUUUUAAUGGAUAGUCACUUUUAUUCUCAUGUCUCUAUAUUUUUAUCAAAAUUGAGGACAUUUUAGAUGAUUAUACAUCUUGAACAUGUUAGGAGCUGUUUGGUUAGUGAAUUAGAUUUAUCUUAAGAUACUAUUUUUCCUAGUUUAUCUUCCUUUAAAUUAAAUAAAUGAAAAUUCAUUAUUCUGUUUUUCAAGAAACAAGAAUAAAUUUGUAUGAUUUUUUAAUUUCAAAUAUUGAGCAAAAAAUCAUCAUUGAUAUCUAAAGGGAGCUCAUAGUUAUAUUAUUUAAAAUAACUAAUUGAUAAUUAUUUUACUAACCAAUUAACAUAAAAUAAAAUAGACAAAUAAGCUACAAACUAACUAAAUCCUACAAAAAAUAACUAAGUCUAGAAUUAUUUUUUUGAAAGUUAUAUAGCGCAUUAAUUUUUAUGGCUCCAUAAAAUAAAGAACUCAGCUUCUCAAGUGGUCUGCAGGAUAUCCUAUAACAAUCCUCAAUACAAACAUAAUACUCGAACAAUAUUCAAGCUAUUAUAUAACAAUCCUCAAUACAAACAUAAUACUCGGACAAUAUUCAAGCGUAGUGUAACAUCCCGUAUUUUUGCUUGUACUUGUUCUAAUUAUAUGGAACUUGGUAUAGCCUUUUGAUAAAUAUAACGUAUGAGAAUUGUUAUGCAAGUAUUAAUAGUAUAGAUGGAAUUAUAGAUGCUGCCCGUACAGUUUAAUGUGAUGUGACUAAGUUAACGUUAAGAUAACUAUUUAAACUUGGAAUCGUAAGCUAGUAUUUGAAUCUAAAGUUUAAAGUGACCAAGUGUGUAUAAGUUGAAGGUUAGAUUAAAUGGAUCAGGAGCUGAAAAUGGAGAAAAAUAUUGAGGUGAUUGCUUGACUUAUUUAAGCUAGUAGGUGAGUCACCUACUUAAGUUGUUUGGACAAAAUUAAUGGACCCAUAGCUAUGGAUCAGAUUUGGGUCUAUGCUAAUAUACUCAUUUGGGCCAAAUUGAACAAAAGAGAAAGAAAAUGGAUAAGUGGCCCAACACACCAAUCUGCCAAAUGCCCAAGUUAUUUAAGCCCAAAAUAAGAAUUUAAGUAAGUAGGUGAAAAUUCGUGCAGCUUGAACCCUUAAGUAGGUGCAUCAUCUACUUGGACCAAUUUGACCAAUUUUAUGGUCCAAAAUACAGCUAAGGAGGUGGACAAGAUAGGGCCUUUAAAAGGCUAAGUUGCUGGUCAUUUUACUUCACUUUUAAGUCACAAAAAAGGAGUAUAUUUCAGCAAAUCUCUCUACUCUCUCUAAAACAACAAGAACAACAACCCUAUUUUUCCUUCUAGGGUUCUUGAAGAAACCCUCACCUUUGCAGCCCAAGAUAAGUGAAAAACACUUAAGGUUUUGUUUAAUUAUCUCAUGGAAGAUUAGGAAAACAAGUUAUAAAUGUUUGACUAUAAGUAUAUGGCUGAUUAUAGAACAAGCUGUUUGUUCACGUUUCUUUGUUAUUGAGGAACUUUUUUGCUUCUUCUUUGGUUUAAGUGUGAAGGAAAGUUCAAGCUCUUGAAGAGUUCAAUUAAAAGAAUAAAUUGCUGAAUUGAGGUAAGGUGACUAAUCCAUUUUGUUUUUCUUAUAUGUGAAUUUGAGAGAGGAUUAUGGAUGUCUUGUUAUUGAGAACUCAAGAGAUGAUGAGUUCCAUAAUUGAUUGCUACAAUAAAAGUAAUUUGGGACUGUUUUGUAUGUAUAUGUUAUGGGCUGCCAGGUAGAAGUUGGAUAAAGGUGUGAUGAGUUUGUAAUGAAUUAUAAAAGAAAGAUGUGGUGAUAUACCACCGAACUAAUGUUUGCUGCCCAAUCUAUUUUGCGUAUUAUUUGGAAUGUGUAAUGAAAUCGAGGUGAUUUUGGUGAACCUUAUAAGAACCUAUAUGGUAUGUGGGUGUAAUUGGAGGAAAAAAAGGGUUAAAAUAACACCCUUGUUUGAUAGAUUAAUAGUUGCUGCCCGGUUACUAUUUUGGGUGAAAUUAAGUAUCUUAAAUGUGUUGAUUGAUUACUAAUACUGGUUUACCAUAUAUUCUAUUGUAGAUAAGUAAUCUAAAAGGCGGGAAGUCAAAUCGGGUUAGUUUCGGAGUCAAAUAACUAGGUAUGUAAGGCAUGUUUUAUUUCAUACUUUUUGGCAUGAAAUCGUACAAUUGUUCCAUCAAGCAAGUUUCCGAGGUUAUCCUAUAACAAAGUGAUACAUAAUGGCAGCACAUUACACUCCAUGUAUCCAAUGACCUUGUUCCCACUCUCUAACNNNNNNNNNNNNNNNNNNNNNNNNNNNNNNNNNNNNNNNNNNNNNNNNNNNNNNNNNNNNNNNNNNNNNNNNNNNNNNNNNNNNNNNNNNNNNNNNNNNNNNNNNNNNNNNNNNNNNNNNNNNNNNNNNNNNNNNNNNNNNNNNNNNNNNNNNNNNNNNNNNNNNNNNNNNNNNNNNNNNNNNNNNNNNNNNNNNNNNNNNNNNNNNNNNNNNNNNNNNNNNNNNNNNNNNNNNNNNNNNNNNNNNNNNNNNNNNNNNNNNNNNNNNNNNNNNNNNNNNNNNNNNNNNNNNNNNNNNNNNNNGGCAGCUCAAGGGCAUAAGCCUAGCAUGGGCCGAUCCCAAUCUUUAUGUGUAGGUGGCAGCUCAGGGGCGUAAGCCUAGCAUGGGCCGAUCCUAAUUUAUCUAUUUACCACUGAUCAGCUGGUCAUUUGCAUUAUGGCUUACAAAGAUUAUGAAUUAAAAAGGUAAAAUGAACAAAAGAAUGUAAUGUACAUUGUCCCACAAGUAUUUAUAAAGGUGGUCUAGUAGUACUACUUAUACACUUGUAUCAUAUUUCUAUUGAGCUUUUGUAUCAAGUGUGUUGUUACCUUCUGCCUUACAUAUUCAGUACAUAUUUUCAUACUGACGUCCCUCACGGGGGACCUACAUUUCAUGGUGCAGGCACAGGAACUUCAGCUCAUACAACUCACUAGUAGGAGCGUAGGCUUUUCAGGGACUAUUGGUGAGCUUCAAGUUGAUUCGGGGCUUUUUGAGUCUAUUCCAUAUAUUUUGAUAUUGUACAGUAAGUCAAGAGUAGGGCGGGGGUUUUGUCCCGACCCUAACUAAGUCUAUGUAUCUUUUAGAGGCUUUGUAGAUUAAUGUAAAGUUAUGGUAGUGUUUUGUCUUUAGAUGUGGUGGCCACAACGGCCAAGUAUUGUGUAUAUCAGUUUGUGUUUGCAUAUGUAAUUAUUCUCAUCGAUAGAUAAUAUCAGGUUUGUCAGAACCUUUAGUUGUUAUAGUUACAUGCAUGGGAAGUACAAAUUUUUGAAUUAGUUCUCUCAGGCCUUUACGGCUACAAGUGCCUGUCCGCCCCAAUAGGAUUUGAGGCAUAACAAAAGUGGUAUCAGAGCAGUUCAUCCUAGGAACUCUACAAAGUCGUGUCUACGUAGAGACUUGCUUUCGGGUGUGUUGUGCACCACAUCUAUAAGUAAGAGGCUAUGGGAAUUUAGGGGUUGUCUCUUUUUCUUCAUAUCUUAGCUCGUGCAAUAGAGCCCAUGUUGUAGGUGAAGUCAUAUUUAACCAUUGAACCUAUUUUUUUCCUCUUAUUAUAGGAAAGAUACCGGUUACAAAAAGGAGUAAGAAUACAGGUAAGCGAAAGGAUAUGGCUGCCGAAUGAGGGACCAGCAAGUCACUACCUAGACAAGCUAAUCAAAGCGAGGCUCAAGCUGAGUUUGUAUCCCAUACUUCUUCUACUCCUCCCUCUCUAGAAGAGCUAAGAAGAAGAAGAACCGCAUCCUCAGAACUACCUAUUAAUGCUACCGACCAGAUUUAAGGAAUGCGAUGCAAUUAUUGGCUCGUAUAGUUGCUGGAAAAGCUCAAGGACCAACCAUUCCAACCAUGGGUUCUAGUGGUACAGAUAGGGCAGCUAGCCUACGGACGCAGGAUUUUCUUAAAUUGGAUCAUCUCUCAUUCACCAGAUCAAAUCUUACUAAAGACCCACAGGACUUUAUUGAUUAAAUCCAAAGGUUUUUAGAUGUCAUGCAUGUGUUGGGUAAAGAGACAGUUGAGCUAGCAGCAUAUAGAUUCAAAUGGGAGGCUAUAUUGUGGUAUGAAGACUGGAAAUGAUCUAGGGGUAUCGAUGCACCUCCAGCUACUUGGAAAGAGUCCAAAGAGGCAUUUCUUGAUCAUUACCUUCCAUAUGAGAUUCGAGAAGCCCAUGCCGAUCAGUUCCUGAAUCUUUGCCAAGGAAAUAUGAGCGUGAGGGAGUACAGCCUUCGGUUUAACUCUUUGGCUAGGUAUGCUCCCAAUGUAGUAGCUACAAUGGAUGAUAGAGUUCAUCGAUAUAUAGAUAGAUUGAAUCCAUAUCUGGUUAGAGAUUGUACUAUUGCUGCUUUAAACAAAGACAUGGACAUAGCAAGGAUACAAGCUUUUGCGCAAAAAAUGGAGGAUCAAAGGCAAAGAAGAAGAGCACAAGAAUUAGAAAGAGGGUAUUCCAAAUGGGCUAGAUCUACGCGGUAGUUUAUGGAAUCCCAAGGAGAGUUUAGGCCUCGAUUUUCUAAUAGACCGCUUAGGCCAUUAUCUUCUUAUUCUACAGCUAGUACUCCACCAUAGUUUCAAGGAUCUAAAGCCAACCAGUUUAGGAAAAGAAGUGAGAGUCAGAUUUGUCGGACAGCAGGGCAUCAAGAGCAAGGGAGUAUGAACCAAUUAAGGCCUCCUCGACAGCUAUGUAAGCAAUGUGGAAAGUUUCAUUUAGGUGGAUGCUGAUUAAAAACAAAUGCUUGCUUUUGGUGUGGUAUGUCAGGACAUAUGAUGAGAGAAUACCCUCAAAGGGCCAUAGGUGGUAUGGCACGACCUACUGGAUCAGCCGUUGCAUCAUUAUCAUCGGUGCCUUAUUCAAGUAGAGGUGUACAACCUAUGGGUCAUGGUAGAGGUGUUAAAGGAGCAACUAGCUCUAGUGGAGUUCAGAAUUGUACAUAUGCUUUAGCGAAUCGACAAAAUUCAGAGGCUUCUCCAGACGUGGUUACAGGUACAUUGUCCAUCUUUUCACAUGAUGUAUGUGUAUUAGUUGAUCCGGGUUCCACAUUAUCAUAUGUCACUCCAUUGGUUGCUGGAAGGUUCAAAAGAACACCAGAAUUGCUAGUUAAUCCAUUUGAAGUAUCUACGCCGAUUGGUGAAUCUAUUAUAGCUAGAAGGGUUUAUCAAAAUUGUAUUAUAACUAUUUGCGGUCGCGAUACGAUGGCUGAUCUUGUUGAGCUGGGAAUGGUAGAUUUUGAUGUUAUAAUGGGUAUGGAAUGGUUGGCGUCUUGUUAUGCCAUAGUAGAUUACCGAACUAAAAGGGUGUAUAUCCAUUUUUCCAAAGGAGGCAGUACUUGAAUGGAGAGGUAAUAUUGGUACGCCAAGAGGUAAAUUUAUUUCUUAUUUUAAGGCAAAAAUAAUGCUUUCCAAAGGUUACAUAUAUCAUCUAGUUAGAGUGAAUGAUACAGAUACGGAGCCACCAACUCUUCAAACUAUUCCGGUGGUAAAUGAAUUUCCUGAUGUAUUUCCUCAAGACCUUCCAGGUUUGCCUCCUGAACGAGAAGUGGAGUUUCGUAUUGAUGUGAUUCCAGGCACCCAACCAAUCUCAAUUCCUCCGUAUAGAAUGGCCACGGCAGAAUUACGAGAAUUGAAAGACUUGCUAGAGAAAGUAUUCAUAAGGCCUAGUAUUCUUGAUCGGUGGCAUUCUUGGGUCAUAUUGUAUCUAGUGAAGGAAUAAAGGUUGAUACUCAAAAGAUAGAAUCCGUGAAGAGUUGGCCAAGGCCCAUAACGCCUAUGGAGAUUCGUAGUUUUCUUGGGUUGACAGGUUAUUAUAGAAGGUUUGUUGAAGGUUUUUCUUCAAUUUCUGCACCUUUAACCAAGCUAACACACAAAGCAUCCAAGUUUCAAUGGAAUGGUGCCUGUGAAAGGAGUUUCCAAGAUCUGAAGAAUAAGUUGACUUCUACACCCGUAUUGGUACUUCCAGAAGGCACAGAAGGGUAUGAGGUGUAUUGUGAUGCUUCAAGAAUUGGCUUAGGAUAUGUAUUGAUGCAGUAUGGUAAAGUAAUAGCAUAUGCCUCCAGACAAUUGUGGCCACAUGAGAAAAACUAUCCUACGUGUGAUCUCGAGCUAGCAGCAGUUAUAUUUUCUUUAAAGAUAUGACGCCACUACUUGUAUGGAAUUCAUGUUGACAUAUACACUGACCAUAAAAGUUUACAAUAUAUCUUUAGCCAGAAGGAUCUAAAUUUGAGGUAGUGGAGGUGGAUUGAACUAUUAAAAGACUAUGAUAUUGAUAUCUUGUAUCAUCCAGAGAAAGCAAAUGUGGUAGCUAAUGCCUAAGUCAUAAGGCUAUGAUGGCGUCUAUAGAGAGGAAAGGGAUGAUUAAAGAUCUCUACAAACUAGCUAAUUUGGGGGUUCGCCUUCUUGAAACUCCAGAUGAGGGGCUUAUUGUGCAUAAUGCAGCGGAAUCUUCAUUAUUAGCUGAAGUGAAAAAGAAGCAAUAUGUAGAUUCAAUUUUAUUACAGCUUAAGGAGAAUGUACAAUGUGGUACGACUAAGGCAUUUGAGCUUACGCGAGAAGGAUUACUUCAGUGCCAAAAUAGAUUAUGUGUGCCUAAUGUAGACGGGCUAAGAAAGAGGAUUAUGACAGAGGCACAUCGUUCGAGGUAUUCCAUCCAUCCAGGGUCAACUAAGAUGUAUCGAGAUUUGAAAGAAAUAUAUUGGUGGAGUGACAUAAAGAGGAACAUUGCAGAAUUUGUAGCCGAAUGUCCAAACUGUCAAAGAGUUAAAGUAGAGCACCAAAAGCCCAGGGGUUAUAUGCAAUGUAUAAAUCUUUCAAUGUGAAAGUGGAACAUGAUUAACAUGGAUUAAGUUUUCUAGCUUUACUUUUUGCAAUGGUAAAUCACAAUAAAAAAUACAUGAAAGCCUAAAUAUUGAGGGUGCAUGUACAUAAACAUUUAUUAAACAAAUUUCACUAUACAAAAACUUGUUAUUUCAACGCUAAAAGAAUGUUCUAAAGAAACUUUUAUCGAGCAGCGCAAAAUUUUCGGCUAAAAUAAUUUUCUGGAAAAUUUGUGUUAAGUUGAAUAUUUUAUUAUUGCAAGAAAUUCAAAAAAAGCGAUUUCACUAUAUUAUUUUCCUAAUGUGAAUGACAAUAUAUAAGAAACUCGGAAUGACAAUAUAUAAGAAACUUGGAAUCAAAAUAAGCCAAGUUAUAAAUAAAGUGAUCAAAAUAGGUCAUCUAUUUAAUAACUUACCAAAAUAGGCUAAACGUUAUAAAUUAUUACGUUUUUCACUUUUUUUUAAUGGUCAACUAACGGAGUUGACUUUUUAUAAAACGUAAUGAAUUGUUACGUUUUAUAAUAUUUUUUGUAAAACGUAAUAAAUUCUUACGUUUUAUCAAAAAGAAUAUAAAACAUAAUAAAUUUUUAUGAUUUACAUGAAAAUCGAAAUAAAAAAGUCAGUAUUUUAUCACAUCACCGCUAAAGUUUACUUUUUCUAAAAAUUGACACAUUGUAAUAUUUUCUUACGUUAUUACCUUUUCUUUCACUUACCAUAUGUGCCCCUACCUCCCCCCCCCCCCCCCCCCAACUUUCUUUUCUCUUUCCUCUUUGUUUUCCCCUCACUUAUAUUUUACACUUCACUGCUAGUCUGAAUAAUUUAUUUUUUCUCUCUUUAAUAACUUUUUACGUUUUACAUAAAAAUUCAAAAAAUAAAAAAGAGAGAAGUAUCAAUUACCUCAUGAACUUGGCACUUUCAUUAUAUUUAUUCUAUAUAAAAAAAAUAAUCACUUCUACCCUUAAUUAUCCAACUUUUCUUCGAUUAGUGUUUCAUAGUAGUUUUCGAUUAGAAUUUUUAAAGAAAAAUCAAAUAAUUAAGGGUAGAAAUGGCUAUUUUUUGAUAUAGAAUAAAUAUAAGGAAAGUACCAACUUCUCGAGGUAAUUUUUACCUCUCUCUUUUUUUAUUUUUUGAAUUUUUGUGUAAAACAUAAAAAAUUAUUACGAGAGAAAAAAUGAAUUAUUUGGACUAGGAGUGAAGUGUAAAAUGUAACUAAGUGGGAAGAAAACAAAGAGGAAAGAGGAAAGAGAAAAGAAAGGGGGUGGGGUGGGGGCAUAUCUGCAAAGUGAAAGAAAAGGUAACAACGUAAGAAAAUAUUACAAUAUGUCAAUUUUUAGAAAAAGUAGACUUUAGCGGUGAUGUGACAAAAUACUAAUUUUUUUAUUUCGAUUUUCGUGUAAAAUGUAAUAAUUUAUUACGUAUUAUAUUUUGUUUUGAUAAAACGUAAAAAAUUAUUACAUUUUUCAAAAACAUUAUAAAACGUAAUAAUUUAUUACAUUUUACAAAAAGUCAACUCCGUUAGUUGACUAUCAAGGAAAAGUAGAAAACGUAACAAUUUAUAACUUGGCUUAUUUUGGUUCCAAGUUCAUCUAUAAGAGUAUUCAAGGCAUGCAUCAUCCCACAGUUAAUAGUAUUAAACUUAAAGUCUAGCUAAUAAUGAAUCAUUAACGCAGAAAAUCUCGAGUAAUAAACUUUCAUUAGUGGGCAUGAUCACACCCUAUAAAUAAGAGUAUAAAUCUUCUUCCAUUCCAAUGUCAUAUAUAAGCAAUUACCCUAUAUUCCAUAGAGAGAAAAAAGUAAUAACAAAAACGAUGAGAUUUUCAUUAGCUCUUGUCUUUGUGAUUUUGGCCCUGUUGCUAACUACUACUUAUGCAGAACAAUGUGGUAGACAAAACCAUAAGCGUAAGUGUCCCAACAAGCUGUGUUGCAGCAAGUUUGGAUGGUGUGGCACUAGUUGUGACUACUGUGGAGCUGGCUGCCAGAGAAACUGUAACAAAGGUUGCGCCACUACCAUGUUCGCCAAUGAAACCGACAACAAUAGUGGCGAACACUUGGAUGGUGGUAACUUAAACUGAUUAAUGAACACUAUGGCUAUAUCAUUAAAAGCUUAUAGUACGAUACACUAGAAGUUGUGUCCUAGGCUUACAUGUGAUGUGGUGUAACAUGAAAAGAAUAAACUAGCUAGUCAGGAGUGAAGUGUAAAAUGUAACUAAGUGGGAAGAAAACAAAGAGGAAAGAGGAAAGAGAAAAGAAAGGGGGUGGGGUGGGGGCAUAUCUGCAAAGUGAAAGAAAAGGUAACAACGUAAGAAAAUAUUACAAUAUGUCAAUUUUUAGAAAAAGUAGACUUUAGCGGUGAUGUGACAAAAUACUAAUUUUUUUAUUUCGAUUUUCGUGUAAAAUGUAAUAAUUUAUUACGUAUUAUAUUUUGUUUUGAUAAAACGUAAAAAAUUAUUACAUUUUUCAAAAACAUUAUAAAACGUAAUAAUUUAUUACAUUUUACAAAAAGUCAACUCCGUUAGUUGACUAUCAAGGAAAAGUAGAAAACGUAACAAUUUAUAACUUGGCUUAUUUUGGUUCCAAGUUCAUCUAUAAGAGUAUUCAAGGCAUGCAUCAUCCCACAGUUAAUAGUAUUAAACUUAAAGUCUAGCUAAUAAUGAAUCAUUAACGCAGAAAAUCUCGAGUAAUAAACUUUCAUUAGUGGGCAUGAUCACACCCUAUAAAUAAGAGUAUAAAUCUUCUUCCAUUCCAAUGUCAUAUAUAAGCAAUUACCCUAUAUUCCAUAGAGAGAAAAAAGUAAUAACAAAAACGAUGAGAUUUUCAUUAGCUCUUGUCUUUGUGAUUUUGGCCCUGUUGCUAACUACUACUUAUGCAGAACAAUGUGGUAGACAAAACCAUAAGCGUAAGUGUCCCAACAAGCUGUGUUGCAGCAAGUUUGGAUGGUGUGGCACUAGUUGUGACUACUGUGGAGCUGGCUGCCAGAGAAACUGUAACAAAGGUUGCGCCACUACCAUGUUCGCCAAUGAAACCGACAACAAUAGUGGCGAACACUUGGAUGGUGGUAACUUAAACUGAUUAAUGAACACUAUGGCUAUAUCAUUAAAAGCUUAUAGUACGAUACACUAGAAGUUGUGUCCUAGGCUUACAUGUGAUGUGGUGUAACAUGAAAAGAAUAAACUAGCUAGUCGUUACCUUAUGCAUGUAAAAGUAUAUAGCAUGAAUAAAAGUAAUGCAUGUGAUAUUGGCCGGUUGUAUAUAUUAUGUAAGAGUGCCCUAACUACUCAUAAUAAUAUUAAUAUUGAUAUUAUGUUAAAUAAUUGCAUGUGUUUUAGAUUUUUUUUACCGUCUUUUCUUUUUUAUUUUUUGCACUUUCAAGUCAAAGGAAAAUUGUUAGAUUUUGGGUCACGAGUCACCCACGUAGAUCGACCCGACCCGACCCAUUACUUUUCUGAAGAAAGAAUAAGAUUAACUUCCAUAUGAGUAGUUACGACUACUUUGAAAAAGAGAGGGAACGGUUAUUUAACUAGUGAAACUAUAUCACAAGUUCCUUAUAUUAAAGGUAGUACUUCCUCAGAAGAAAAAUAGACAGAGGACGAAGAAAAGUAAUCAAAAGAACAUUGAGACAGAAAGAAAAAUUUUCUUUCAUACUCCAUCUAAAAAUUACACCUAGAAGACAUUUAGUUCGUUAUAAUCACACUUUGAUUCUAAGAGAUUCAAAAUAAACUUGGUGCAAAUUCUUUCGAUAGCAAAAUCAACUCCUUUCGCUGCAACGUAUUAAGGUAUACACUAAUUUUAAUCCUAUCUUUAUAUCAAUGGUAUCAAAUUCAGCUUAAAAAUGCUCUAUCUCUGAAUGGUAAUUUCUUGAUACAGUGAGAAAAUUUCUUGAAAUUAAUUGAAUAGUAAUUUCUUGAUAUCAAGUGAGAAAAUUUCUUGAAAUUAAUUGUUAAAGAGCUUGAAAAUACCUGUUAAAGAGCAUAGAUGGUCAGAACAAAAUCAGGGAGUAUGAAUCCGACAUAAAUUGGAAUACCAACCCUUGAUUUGUGGCGGGUUACACUAUAAAUGCAUUUCAGAUUUGGUUAUUUUUCUUUUUUCAUCGUUUCUCCAUAGAACUGUCAAAGAACUUUGAUCAUAAUAAAAAAAAGGGGGACUUGUGGAAGAAAUGAAGAAGAAGAUUAAAAGUGUACUCUUUUUUUUUCUUUGUUAACAAAGUAAAGGAAAGAGAAAGGUUUUUUGACUUUGUGAUGUUGUACACGUACACAAGAAUAGUCUAGAGAAA